GCUGUUUUCCGCGUCCACCUCCUUCAGCUUCGCUGCCAGGUCCUCCACUUGGCCCUCCAGCUGGAGGCGCACCUUCUGCAGCUCCUCCACCUAUGCACAGGGAAUCUUUGAAUCUCCUGAAUCAUGUCCUGCAAAUUUCCUGUUGGAAUAUUGACAGCACAACGAUUAUUUCUAGCUGGCACACUUGCAAGCCACAAUUCACAGCACAAGGCUUCAAUAGUCCUUGCAGAAGACUGCGUGCCCAUUAGGAUGCAUUUGGCAGAAGCAACCAGCAUUAAUUGCAGUACUGAAAAUUUGAGAACAACACACAUACCUGGGCCUGCUUGCGGUCCACUUCCACUUCAGCAUCCUCGUAGCGCAGCCGUUGUGUGAGCCUCAGGAGCAGGCCAUGCACCUGGCUGCAUGCCUCCUUGAAAUCCCCGAUCACCGCCUGCCCAUUGGACUCCUCCAUUUUCAGCUCCUCCU
rnacentral:lncRNA from 1 species